rnacentral:lncRNA from 1 species
AUCAAUAGCUAACCCACACAUAAAUACGGGGACCCCUGUCAAAAGAACAGAUUAUAGAUCAGGUAACUAUAGGAAAAAGAAACUAUCCAGUUAAUUAUUUUUCGCCAAAAAGCUGAGAAACCAUAUUGGAACUUGCAGUGUAAUGCCUAAAGACGUCUAUGAUGAUUCCAUUGACAGGAUCAAUACCAUUCAAGUCUUUUCAUCUUGAUGGGUAUUUAGAACUAGGAAUGAAAGUUUGAAUAACUCAAAUCCACAUAUGCAUUUCAUCUUUCGCAGUAGUUCAUGGCUAGGACGGAUUGUCAAUAGAUGUGCCAUAUUUAGCUGAUAGAAUAGCUUCGUGGAAAAGUAUGCUCUCCACUCUAUUUCAUUAAGAUGUUGCAAAUUUCAGCAUGUCAGUAGUCCUAUCUGUUGUGAAUUCCAACUCAGCUGCUUGUGAAAGUAUUUAUCGCCAAAUCUGUUUGUAAAGAUCAUGUUUCACUUCAUUUUUACACCCAACAUACAAGAUUUAUUACUACUAAACCGUCUGCUCGUAUCUUGAACUUUCACAUACAUUUCAAUUUCACUUAAAGGGAAUCAUUAACUAAAAGCAAAUCAAACUUUUAAUUGACUUUCGGAAAAUAGUUGAGAAGACCUAAAGUCAUCCCUACAAAAAAGUUGGGCUCAUAAAUCUUAUAAUGUUAUAUGUUUGCUGGUAGCUGCAAUGCCAUAUCCAAUACCAAAUCACCAGAUUUUCCUUCAAAAUUGGCUUUUAGAUUGAUCUGGUUUCUGCAACUUUAGGAUAAAUAUGUUAAGUCUAAUGUAAAUUUGUCUUUUGCAAAAGCAAUUCAUAACUAGUUUUGUGAUUUAUGAGCUCAAGACACAACCAAACUCAAAAUAUUGUCCAACUUUUUAGCAUGUUUUGAUUUGUAAAGCACUAAAUCUCCCCAUCAGUUGGUAUAGAGAUUUUGAAGUGGACAUCUCAAUUUAGUGAGAUAAAAUUGUCUUUUUUCUUUUUCAUCAUUUGGUCGUAUCAUAUUCCAAGAGGGUUGCUCUGAUGGUAAGCAACCCCCACUUCCAACCGAGAGGUUGUG